AGCUACAUUGAUUGGAGCACCUGCAGCCAAUCAGAGCAGGCUAAUCAGGGUACCUGGUAUAAAAAGGGGACCUCACUCCAGUCAAGGGAGGAGGAGCCAAAGGAAGGAAGUGUGUAUGAGGAGCUGGGGGCCAGAGACACAAGGAACUAAGAACUGAGAAGAUGUACUACUGGAGGAUUGAGGAGACACCAUACAAUCAAGCAGUAUCAGACACCAGGAGGAUCCUAUGUAUACCGAGAACAGGAUAGCUGUGGGGACAGCUCCUUCUUGAUACUCACCCAUGCAGAGCCCCAGAUUGUGCAUGCCAGCAGGUCCAGAACUAUGCUGAAGAACAGCAAGGGUCAGUGGGCAGUCCUGCCUUGUUCCCCUCUGUAAUGAGAAUGGUUCUGAAAUACUCUUGGGUGAUCACCCAAGAUGGGGGUCAGGAUAGAGCAAUUUAAUCCAAUUGAUAAAGUGGUCACUAAAUCCCAUUCUCUCAUGGACUAUAAAAACAUAAUUCCAAGCAACUCAAUCAAAGGCUUUUUCAGAGUCUAGUGAUGCUACUAAAGGUUCCUGUGAGUGUUGUGAGGUUGCAAUCAUAUCAAUGAGCUGCCAAUGAGUUUUACACAGUCAUUCUUCUCUCAAAGAUGUGAAGAUUCAGGUGUCAGCCUUUAGGAAUUCUUGAAACGAUAAUACUACAUGCAGAAAAAAAUCCAUUAUCUUACACACACCAAAAAAAAAAGCCUCAGAAGGAUUAUGAAAUAUCAGUGUUUUUGUCUGUAAGUACCUAAUUCAUUCAAUUUAAGUUCUGCUAAUCUUUUUUUUUUUAAACUGACCUGAUGUGUUACAAAUUUGUGUACAUUUCAAUAGGAACCAGUUCUGUAGUCAUUAAAAAAAGGAAAAGAUUAGUUAUAUGUAGUAGAGUCCUCAAGAGUUGCAAACCAGUUUUAAAUCCUACAAAGCAAUAGUCUGUAACUAUGUUAAGUGGUUUUUUCACAACAUUACUGAUGAGAACAUUUGAAUUCUUCCUACAUUAAAA